rnacentral:rRNA from 1 species
UACAGAGGGUGCGAGCGUUGUCCGGAAUCACUGGGCGUAAAGGGCGCGUAGGUGGUGGCUUAAGCGUGCGGUGAAAGCUCGGGGCUCAACCCCGAGACGGCCGUGCGAACUGGGCUCACUGGAGCAUAGUAGAGGCAGGUGGAAUUCCGGGUGUAGCGGUGGAAUGCGUAGAGAUCCGGAAGAACACCGGUGGCGAAGGCGGCCUGCUGGGCUAUGGCUGACACUGAGGCGCGACAGCGUGGGGAGCAAACAGG